rnacentral:rRNA from 1 species
AGUGAACGCUGGCGGUAGGCCUAACACAUGCAAGUCGAACGGCAGCACAGUAAGAGCUUGCUCUUACGGGUGGCGAGUGGCGGACGGGUGAGGAAUAAAUCGGAAUCUACUUUUUCGUGGGGGAUAACGUAGGGAAACUUACGCUAAUACCGCAUACGACCUACGGGUGAAAGCAGGGGAUCUUCGGACCUUGCGCGAUUGAAUGAGCCGAUGUCGGAUUAGCUAGUUGGCGGGGUAAAGGCCCACCAAGGCGACGAUCCGUAGCUGGUCUGAGAGGAUGAUCAGCCACACUGGAACUGAGACACGGUCCAGACUCCUACGGGAGGCAGCAGUGGGGAAUAUUGGACAAUGGGCGCAAGCCUGAUCCAGCUAUACCGCGUGGGUGAAGAAGGCCUUCGGGUUGUAAAGCCCUUUUGUUGGGAAAGAAAAGCAGCAGGUUAAUACCCCGCUGUUCUGACGGUACCCAAAGAAUAAGCACCGGCUAACUUCGUG